rnacentral:rRNA from 1 species
UAAGACGAACCACACAAACGUUAUUCGGAAUUACUGGGCUUAAAGGGUGCGUAGGCUGUGCGGAAAGUUGGGCGUGAAAUACCUCAGCUUAACUGAGGAACUGCGUUCAAAACUACCGUGCUUGAGGGAGACAGAGGUAAGCGGAACUUAGGGUGGAGCGGUGAAAUGCGUUGAUAUCCUAAGGAACACCGGUGGCGAAAGCGGCUUACUGGGUCUUUUCUGACGCUGAUGCACGAAAGCUAGGGUAGCGAACGGGAUUAGAUACCCCGGUAGUCCUAGCUGUAAACGAUGAGCACUUGGUUGAAGGGCCCUCCAUAGCCUUUCAGCCGCAGCGAAAGUGUUAAGUGCUCCGCCUGGGGAGUAUGGUCGCAAGGCUG